GGUAACUGAUGAUUAGUGAUCUUGAUUCAUCAAAAACUUGACCUUGUAUGGCCAUAUAGAUGGUAGUUUAUCUUUGAAAUUCCAUUGAUUCGAUGAUGAUGACAGUGGAUCAAUGAGACGAGUCAUACAAACUCACCCACAUACAACGUACGAUACCGUUCGAUUGUGAACAUCUGUAAUUUCUUAUUGUGUGUCUUGUCUUUUCUGAUCAUUUUUUUUGUCAUUUUGUUUUUAGUUUAUUCUACUUUUUUUUGUUUUGUUUUGUUUUGAGAAAGCCUUCAAUUUUCAUUUGGUUUCUUCCAUUUUUCUUUCUCACAUUCAAGACAUUGAUCAUUCUACGUUAUUCAAAGUAAACUAGUCAUAGUCAGGAUGAGGCAAUAAAAAAUGGGUGAAAAAAAAAAUUUUUGUAUUCUGUAAGCGUCGAACCGAGCAAAUACUCACACACAGGGGAAAGCAAACGAGAAAGUCAAAAAAUAAAUCAUCGAAAAAUAAUGUUUCAAGAAAAAAAAACAACAACAACAACAACAUUGGAUCGGGUUAGAAUUGUCUAGCUGGUUGGCUGACUUGGUUAAUUUUUCCACAUCGUAACAUCAAAUUAAUAACUUUAAUCGGCUUCUCUCUCUCCCAUGUUGAUGAUGAUGAUGAUGAUCAAAAAUUCUGAGAUUCAUUGAAGAAAUUCCAAUGAAAGCACCGGAGGACAACAAAGAAAAAAAUAAAUAAAUUCCAAAAGACAGGUUACGCGUGAAAAUUGGUGUUUUAUUUUCCACCGAAUCCAGUCUCACAAUGUUGAAUUGAAUGUCAAUCAUUGUGAAAUAUACAAGUAUCGAAUAACAGACAGACA